rnacentral:rRNA from 1 species
UACAGAGGUGGCAAGCGUUGUUCGGAUUUAUUGGGCGUAAAGGGUGCGUAGGCGGCGGAGUAAGUUGGGUGUGAAAUCCCGGGGCUCAACCUCGGAAUGGCAUUGGAAACUAGCGGGCUGGAGUGUGGCAGAGGGGGGUGGAAUUCCACGUGUAGCAGUGAAAUGCGUAGAGAUGUGGAGGAACACCGAUGGCGAAGGCAGCCCCCUGGGCUAACACUGACGCUCAUGCACGAAAGCGUGGGGAGCAAACAGG